UAAAGACGGAGGAAGUGGGGCUACAUCUCUGCUCCAGCUGUCUGCACAAACCCUUCCAGGGUAGCUCUUCGUAGAAAGUCCCCCUGUGACCUGAGGCACCAGGGAUGCAGCUCCAGCGGGAAUAAGCCAGCUCUCACGUGCUGGGCAGGACUGGUUCCAUCACCCACGCCUCGAAGGAACAACCAACUACUGAAUGUGAAAGAAAAGGAGGUAGUUCAGAAAUAAGGAAAAUGGAAAGGAGCUGGAAUAUUGUAUGGCAAUUGGACGAGAAAAUUACAUGGAAUCCCACCAGACACUCUUUAUUUCUGACGUGCAUUGGGCCUUUCUGAAUGUGGGCGUUGCUGAGCCAACAGCUGAUCCAUAGUUGUUGUGAUUGGAUUUUGCGUUCUCUCUCCCCAAAGGAAGGGUGGCCACCUUCUGCUGCAGCUUCUUGACGUGGUCCUCCUCCUCAAACAGGGCCUUCUGCACCGAGGAACACAUGAGCUGGGGAGGAAACACCAGGAGACGCAGUAAAGCCCAAGCUUGAGGAUCACCCACUUGGAAGCGAAACUGGAUCCACAGAGGGCCUUCAGCGUAUUUCCACGAAAGGGCUUUGCCUGUGCUGAGAAAAAAAAGACAUUCUAAAUAUGUCACUCUAGCAAGAAGGACAGAGCUCUGGUGACCCAAGAAGUAAGAGAACAAAACCCGAAACAGAAAGAUGCACAGAGAAUAUGAAUAGUCUACAGGAAAGGGGAGAGGAUCUGGGCACCUCCGGGACCACCGAACGCAGCUUCCCCGUGGGUGACAAGCGGCCACCUGAACCUCUUGUUUCAGCAUCACCUCGUUUGCUGUUCCUGGAAGUCACUGCCGACAUUGUGAGCACAUACAAACACAGCCCGCAUUGCCUGAGACUCCAGCCUUGGGUUACUUAGUGGGAUUUCAAAGAACAAAAAGAAAAGACAGGAGCUUGCAUCUCCCUCUCCUCUGCACUUGCAAUGUCGCUAUUCUGCCUGAGCUCAGGGGGCUUGCAUCUCUCUCCUCUGCCUUUGCAAUGACAGCAUGGAUUGUUCUGGCCCACUGUUGCACCCCAGAUGAAAAGGAGCACAUACUGAGAAAGCCCAGGGAACACGCAGAUGGCCUACUGGCCACCAGUCCACAUGGCCAAGUUUAUCAGAAACCCCACGGGUCACAACAGAAGAACAAUGCACCUGUGAGCUAGCGGAAGAUCUGAGAUGCCUAUUCCAAAGACAGGUACCAUCAACGGGCUCCAACAGUUUGAAGUAAGGCUCAUGAUGGCUCAAGAAAUUCAGCCCAUUCCAGCGGAAAGUGGCCCAGGUCCCUACAGGUCCUUGGAACAGUCAGGUCCUUCUCCUCUAGGGGAGGCUAGGGUCUUUCAGAAGAAGAGACCUUCAGCCUCUUACCCCUUAAUAAAUGUGUAGAGUCUCUUAGGGGGGAAUGAGACAGGCUGGGACCUGGGACCCUAUACUGCAGUGCUGCAAUGCUUGCACCUGGACAUACCUCUCCUCAAGCAACAAAUUAAAAGAAACUGUAUGGGACUAAAAAUUACUGCGUGCAUGCUCAGUUGGGGCAAAUUCUAGACAAAAGAUACAAAGAGACCAAAAACACCCAACUGCCAUUUUGAGGAGCCUGGAGCAAAAGCAGGGCACUGCGCAUGCCCC